UACAGAGGGUGCAAGCGUUAAUCGGAAUUACUGGGCGUAAAGGGCGCGUAGGCGGUUAUUUAAGUUAGAUGUGAAAUCCCUGGGCUUAACCUAGGAACUGCAUCUGAUACUGGGUAACUGGAGUACUGUAGAGGGUAGUGGAAUUUCCGGUGUAGCGGUGAAAUGCGUAGAUAUCGGAAGGAACACCAGUGGCGAAGGCGGCUACCUGGACAGAUACUGACGCUGAGGCGCGAGAGCGUGGGGAGCAAACAGG
rnacentral:rRNA from 1 species